UUUUUAACCCAACCGUUGGGUCACACAUAUUGGGUCAUUGUGUUGGGUUAUCUUAAAAUUUGUUGGGUCAUUUAUUUUCGGCGUUGGGUUAUUUUUAGUUAUAACCCAACUGUUGGGUUAAAUAUGGUUCCCGCUUCACUCCGGUUCAAAUUUUAACGGUCCAGUCAGCGACUCAGUGGACAUCAGCGGCAGUUUGCCUGAUUAUGAAAGGUAAGUAACUGUUAAUAUAAUGUUAAUAUAAUUUUAUGAUGUAUAUAACUGUUAUUACAUUAAGUAAUGUGUACUGAAACGUUAAUUAAAUCGUAAAACUAUUUAAAAAACAAAGUUUUAAUUCCCUUUAGUCAGUUCUUCCCCAGAUCGAUUGUAAAUGAAUAUGCUAUUCCCGUUUGCUUGCUAGCAUUAAUAAAUAAAAACAUUAGCUGAAAGACUAGCAAAACCGUUUAGAGAAGUAUUACUUAACGUUAAUAAAAAUGUCUGGUGAAAUGUGAAAGGGCGCCGAAAUCUUUAGGCUAUAAAAGCCGCACGGACCAUUUAUCGGAUCGGACCAGUACCUGAAGCUGCUCGAGCGAGCCGAGCUCACACAUCAGUCAUACGACAGACACCAAGCGUUUGAAUUUGCUGAAUUUUCUGUUAUAGAAGUUCAAAACUCAGACGAAAGAGCAGAGUCAUAAAUGGAUUUGUGGAUUUUGUAAAGAAAAGAUUACAACAGCGGAACCUCUGCAAUUUAAUAGAAACAUUUCAAGGUUGGUACUAAUAUGGUCCACUACCUCAACAAUGAGACAAGCCAGGAUCCACAUGUCUUGGUGCUUGGAGACAAAGAAAAUUCCUCCCAAGUUUUCAUCAUUUUCAUUGGAGAGGCAGUUG